GUGGAAAUGUCUGUGUGUGUGUCUGUGAGUGUUUAUUUUGAAGUGAAUGUGUGUGUGUGUGUGUGUGUGUGUCUGUAAGUGUGUAAUUGUGUGUGUCUGUAAGUGAAUGUGUGUGUGUUGGUCAGUGAGUGUAUAUGUGUCAGUCAGUGAGUGUGUAUGUGUCAGUCAGUGAGUGUGUAUGUGUCGUCAGUGAGUGUGUAUGUGUCGUCAGUGAGUGUGUGUCGGUCAGUGAGUG